rnacentral:rRNA from 1 species
AGAGUUGAUCAUGGCUCAAGGAACGAACGCUGGCGGCAGGCCUAAACAUGCAAGUUGAACGGCCAUAGCAAUAUGGCAGUAGCGCAAGGGUGAGUAAUGUAUGGGAACGUAUCUUUUGGUGGGGAAUAUCUUUGGAAACGAAGAGCAAUACCGCAUAAGGCCCUACGGGGGAAAGAUUUAUCGCCGAUUGAGCGGCCCAUAUUGGAUUAGCUAGUUGGUUAGGUAACGGCUGACCAAGGCUGUGAUCCAUAGCUGGUCUGAGAGGACGAUCAGCCACACUGGGACUGAGACACGGCCCAGACUCCUACGGGAGGCAGCAGUUAGGAAUAUUGGACAAUGGGGGCAACCCUGAAUCCAGCCAUGCCGCGUGAGUGUUAAGGCCUUCGGGUUGUAAAGCUCUUUUGUAUGGGAAAAUGAUGAUGGUACCAUAAGAAUAAGCACCGGCUAACUUCGUGCCAGCCGCCGC